rnacentral:sRNA from 1 species
UUGACACUCUGCAGAACUAAAUUCUCCCACUUUACUCUAGAGCAGCUACCACCUGGGCAACAGCAAUACUACAUUCCAUAUCCUGCCCUGGCAUGGAACUCCUGAGCUGCUGUGGAGGGGAUUCAGUCUCCAUGGCCCAUUUAGUUCUUGGCCUCU